rnacentral:rRNA from 1 species
UGGCGGCGUGCCUAAUACAUGCAAGUCGAACGCUUCUUUUUCCACCGGAGCUUGCUCCACCGGAAAAAGAGGAGUGGCGAACGGGUGAGUAACACGUGGGUAACCUGCCCAUCAGAAGGGGAUAACACUUGGAAACAGGUGCUAAUACCGUAUAACAAUCGAAACCGCAUGGUUUUGAUUUGAAAGGCGCUUUCGGGUGUCGCUGAUGGAUGGACCCGCGGUGCAUUAGCUAGUUGGUGAGGUAACGGCUCACCAAGGCCACGAUGCAUAGCCGACCUGAGAGGGUGAUCGGCCACAUUGGGACUGAGACACGGCCCAAACUCCUACGGGAGGCAGCAGUAGGGAAUCUUCGGCAAUGGACGAAAGUCUGACCGAGCAACGCCGCGUGAGUGAAGAAGGUUUUCGGAUCGUAAAACUCUGUUGUUAGAGAAGAACAAGGAUGAGAGUAACUGUUCAUCCCUUGACGGUAUCUAACCAGAAAGCCACGGCUAACUACGUGCCAGCAGCCGCGGUAAUACGUAGGUGGCAAGCGUUGUCCGGAUUUAUUGGGCGUAAAGCGAGCGCAGGCGGUUUCUUAAGUCUGAUGUGAAAGCCCCCGGCUCAACCGGGGAGGGUCAUUGGAAACUGGGAGACUUGAGUGCAGAAGAGGAGAGUGGAAUUCCAUGUGCAGCGGUGAAAUGCGUAGAUAUAUGGAGGAACACCAGUGGCGAAGGCGGCUCUCUGGUCUGUAACUGACGCUGAGGCUCGAAAGCGUGGGGAGCAAACAGGAUUAGAUACCCUGGUAGUCCACGCCGUAAACGAUGAGUGCUAAGUGUUGGAGGGUGUCCGCCCUUCAGUGCUGCAGCUAACGCAUUAAGCACUCCGCCUGGGGAGUACGACCGCAAGGUUGAAACUCAAAGGAAUUGACGGGGGCCCGCACAAGCGGUGGAGCAUGUGGUUUAAUUCGAAGCAACGCGAAGAACCUUACCAGGUCUUGACAUCCUUUGACCACUCUAGAGAUAGAGCUUCCCCUUCGGGGGCAAAGUGACAGGUGGUGCAUGGUUGUCGUCAGCUCGUGUCGUGAGAUGUUGGGUUAAGUCCCGCAACGAGCGCAACCCUUAUUGUUAGUUGCCAUCAUUCAGUUGGGCACUCUAGCAAGACUGCCUGUGACAAACCGGAGGAAGGUGGGGAUGACGUCAAAUCAUCAUGCCCCUUAUGACCUGGGCUACACACGUGCUACAAUGGGAAGUACAACGAGUCGCGAAGUCGCGAGGCUAAGCUAAUCUCUUAAAGCCAUUCUCAGUUCGGAUUGUAGGCUGCAACUCGCCUACAUGAAGCCGGAAUCGCUAGUAAUCGCGGAUCAGCACGCCGCGGUGAAUACGUUCCCGGGUCUUGUACACACCGCCCGUCACACCACGAGAGUUUGUAACACCCAAAGUCGGUGAGGUAACCUUUUGGAGCCAGCCGCCUAAGGUGGGAUAGAUGAUUGGGGUGAA